AACAAAGACACCGUCUGGUCACAAUUAGAGGAAAUUCUCCUCUAUAAAUUUCCUCAUUAGGGCUCUCCAAGUUCAUUCAAACUAUACAAUAUAUAUAUAUAUAUAGAACCCUAAAAUUUCAUAUUUCAAUAUUCUCUAGCUAGCUAGCUUUUAUAUAUAUAUAUAUAUACCCAGCUUCAGUUUUAUAAAAAUAAUCAUGACAUCGAGUACUGGAGCUAGCUAUGCUUUGAUUUACAUGCAGCAAAAGAGACUUGAUGAAAAAAUGAAGAGAAUGCAAAAGGAGAAAGAAAAUGCAGUCAAAGGAAGAUUCACCCUUGCACUUAUCCGUUCUCGGAGUUCUGCAGCAGCAGCUCAACAGAAACAAGAAAAAUGAGAUUAAUUAGUUUUGAUUAAUUAAAAUCUUUGCUUGACACAUGCAUGAUUUGUAUGGUAUUAUGGCUUAAUUUGUAUGUGCAAACUUGCAAGAUAUGCUUGAUAAAUAAAGUAGUGCAUGUGUUUAGUUUAUUGUCCAAUUUCUCCACGGUUGCUCGUGCGUGCUAAUUUCUUAUAUAUAUUGCAC
rnacentral:lncRNA from 1 species